ACCGCGAGCGAGCUCCACUCCCCCUUUCCCCUUGCUAGCAGGGGAAGAGAAAGGAGUGAUGGUGAAGAGAAAGAGGCGCUAUUUUCUGCAACCAUUUAGGAAGCACGGCUUAUUGCCUUGGCGAAGGGGUCAUAGAGAAGAAAGGAGAGAAGGUCGAGGCAGUCAUAGAGCCCUUGGCUGUCAGCGGUAGCCAGGUGACACAUUUACAUGUUACACAACAGCCCUAUGUUCUCCAGGAAUGUAAAAAAUGUAAUUAAAUUAUGGGGUCUUACAUGCCAAAACCACAAUCUGAUCAUGAGGCAUGUCGUAGUGAAGGAUUCUGAAAAUUUGGACCACCUGGGGUUCUUUAACGUGCACCUAAAUCUAAACCAGGAAUGUAAGGAGGUGCCUGAAGGCGAAGCUGUGGUACUGGCUGGGGAACAGCAGUUACGAUACCGAGACCGCAGAGAGUCCCAGCCAUCUAAAUGAUAAGUGGAGGGAAUUAUACCUCUCUUUGGAGAAAGCGGGGGCAGAAACAAAGGAAAUGCUCAACUGUUUCGGCCUCGCCGCAUGCUGGAAAUAGAGGCGGCGAUCAUCAAGCCAUCCUUCUCAGCUCACCCUCGGACACUAGCUAUUACUUGCACCUAAAACAUAGAGCGCAGGGAGGAUGAUACGAUCUUAUUGCACUUGGACUUUAUGUGGAACUUGAUGCUGCUCCACUUUGGCAGCGCAGAAUGCAAUAUGAGAGAAAUUACACUGUGCAGAACAGAAGCCGGCAGCUGCGACAAGGCAAGAAGUGACAAAGAAAAAGUGCAAGAAAUGGUGGCGUUGAUUGGAGUCUACAUGGAGAAAAGCCAGACACAAGCAGAGAUUGUUUUGAAUGACUGCUGCAGAAGACCUGCGUUGUUGCAGAGGCACCGAUGCUAAGCAAACUCUUGGUUUUAUUAAGUUUACCUUGGUGUGCAGUCGUCAAUGAAUAAAAGCAUAAAAGUCCGUAUUA